CAUGUUUAGCUUCUCCAAGCUUUGACAAUCUUUGAUAGAUGAAGGGAUGUGGCCUGAGAAGUUGUUACUAGAGAGAUCUAGACUCACAAGGCUUUCGAGGUAACUUAUAUCUUGAGGAAUUGGACCAGAAAAUAGGUUGCUAGAUAGAUUCAAGACGGCACUCAAGCUAGGUAGGUUAAGAACUCCAUUUGGUAUGCUUCCAUUUAGCAUAUUGCUGGAUAGAUCCAUGGAUAACAUAUUCUUGAAGUUUUCAAAUGAUGGUGGGAUCCUACCUUGUAUUUUGUUGUGCGAUAGAUUGAUCUCAUUUAACCCGCCAAGAUCACCAAUAGAAUCUGGAAUUCUUCCAGUAAGCUUAUUUCUUGCUAGUUCUAACUCUUGCAAAUCUUUCAGUUUCCCAAUAUCUUGAGGGAUUUCACCAGUAAGUGAAUUGUCACUUAUGUUAAGCAGACUCAAUCCUGUUAGAUAGCCGAUGGACUCCGGAAUUUUUCCGCUGAAGCGGUUUCCUCCCAUUAAAAGUGUAGAAAGAUGCUUGGAAAGAUUACCAAUAGAUACCGGAAUAACACCCUCCAAGAGAUUUCCAUUAAAUCCCAGGAAGUCAAGCUGGGAACUAUUACUCAAAGACUUGAUGAAACUAUCAAGAUCUUGAUCUCUACCCUUAACUAAAUUGAAUCCAAUGUUGUACAUUUCUAGGAAUGGGAGAUUGCCUAAUCCUGAUGUUAUGGUCCCUUCUAAAUGGUUGAACGCAGCACGGAUCACCUUAAUUUUAGUGAGGUUGUAUAGAGAAGCUGGAAUCUCUCCGGUGAACUUGUUGAAACACAUGUUGAAAACCAAGAGUUUUGGAAGUAUGUCUCCAAUGUUGCUAGGAAAUUGACCGCAUAAGCUGUUUGAAGCAAGGGCUAACGAUUCUAGUGACGAGAUGUUGUAAAUAGAUGGAGGGAUUUCUCCGGUGAGGUUGUUUAUGGUGGCAUCAAGGACUUGUAGCCUUUGGAGACGACCCAACUCGAAAGGAACUGGACCACUAAGAAAGUUUGUGCCUAGGCUUAAAAUGGUGAGAGAUGAUAUGUUUGAAAGAUAUGGUGGAAUUGGUCCAUGUAACCGAUUUUUUCCCAAGUUUAAAAUAUUUAGGUUCUUGAGAUCACCAAGUUUUUUUGGAACGAGACCCGUGAUCUUGUUUGAGGUUAGAUCAAGAACUCGUAGCUCUAUCAACUUGCUUAGGUUGGAAGGUAAGGAUCCUUCUAAGCUGUUAGAGCUUAAAUUAAGAACCCUUAGACGAAAAAGAUUUUUGAUCUCUUUUGGAAUUAAACCUCCAAGUUGGUUAUUUUGAAGUUGAAGCGAUGUGAGAAAAGAGAUAUUACCAAUACUUGGGCUUAUGGAACCAGUGAGACGAUGACCAGAGAGGUUGAUAGAAAUCACUCUCUUGUUACGUGUAUUGCAUGUCACGCCAGUCCAAUUACAUGGAGAUGUGUUUUGGUCCCAAGAGAAAGAAACUGAGUGUGGGUUUUGGCUUAUUUGGGACCUGAACGAGAGCAAAGCUUCUCUGUCAAUAUUUAACGAAAAAGAAGUUGUCCCACUAAUGGAAAAUGUUGAAAGGGAAAACAAUACAAGAAGAAGAAAUAAUGACCGAAGAGUAAAAUUGGGUAGAAGUUGAUGGACAUUCAAACCCAUUUUUAUAAUCUCUCUUAUUGAUUUUCUCUCUUUGGAAUAUGAAAAUGAAUUUACAGAAGUUUGAUGAUUUAUAGUGAUUUAUUGGACUAAGUGUUUGGGUAUACAUUUGGAUUGGACUUUUCUAGCAUGGAAAGAAACGCACGUAAUAAUCAACGCAAAAGUCUACGAACUUGACAAUCUAUCAUUGUGUGGGAGUGGCCUACAUUAAACUUUGUGGUUAAAGCAGACUCUUGACCUCAUCAACUUGAACUAAACGUACCGUUAUCCAUCUCUAUCAGUUUGUUGGGCGGUGAAUGCACAAAACGUAUUAAGUCACUAGUCGACAAUUCUCUAGUUAUUGUUUAACAAAAAAUAGUAAAUUUAUUCUUACAAUUGGAGAUCAAUCAUAAUCAAGAGUGAUCUUAGUAUAUAUCUAUUUAUGGAUACUCAAUAUAUGUAUAUUUACUAUUCUUGUGAUGCCCUAGCUCUCUCUCUUGUAUAUAAAGAGACUAUGUAUAAUAAGGGCGGACGCAGGAUUGUUUUUGGUGUGGGGCACUAACCAAUAAGACUAUGUAUAUAUCGACAUUUUAUGUUAAUUUACAUAUAUUUUUAUAAAGCAAACAUUUGAACAUAAUUAGCCAUCUUCUCUAUUAAAAGAGAAGUACCAUUUUUAUCUACUAUAAAAAAGUCAUACUAGCCUUAUUAGGUACAUUUCAUUAAUUACAUUUAUUUAAUUAUUUAUAUUAAUCUAUUAAAUCUAUAAAGAUAUUAAUAACAAAUCAAUUUUAACUGUAAAUUUAAAUUUUAUUUUUAGUUAUAACAAAAUGUUCAGAAAAAAUCUAACAAAAUCUUUCUAAAAAUUUUAAAUAUUUUAUUUAAAUUAAUACCAUUGAUUAAUUUUGUAAUUAAUAAUAUAUACCAUUAUACAUUAAUUUAAAUAAGAUUUUAUUAUAAAACAAAAUAAAAUAAAUAAAAUAAAAGUGUAUGCUAUUUUUCAAAUUUUAUAAUUAUAUUCUAUAUCUUUUUUUAUUAAAAGAAAUACAAUAAAAAUUCAUACUAGGUCUAUUUCAUCAAUUACAUCUAUUUGAUUAUUUAAGUUAAUCUAUUUAAUACAUAAUAUUUCUAAAAAAUGUUAUAAAUUAUAUAGAUAUCAAUAAAUAAAUUUUAACUGUAAAUUUAAAUUUUAUUUUUACUUAUAACAAAAUAUGUUGGAAAAAAUCUAACAAAAUCUUAAUAAAAUUUUAAAAUAUUUUUAAAUUAAUGCACCGAUUGAUUUCAUAAUUAAUAAUAUAGUAUUAUUAUAAUCUAUUUACUUAUAAAAUCCCACAAUAUACUAAAAUAGAUAACAUAGAAAUAUAAAUUAUGCUAAUAAAAUAUCAGUUCUAUAAUAUAACUAAAUAAAAUUUUAAACUGUAUUGUAUUCAGUCUGUAAAAAUUAGAAAAAAAUGAAGGAGAUUCUUAAUUUUUUUAUUUCAUACUAUGAAUUUAUUUUACCAAACUCAAAAAUAUAUUAAUAUAUAAUAACAAUUAAUAAUUAAGUAAAAUGUAUAAAACAAAUCAUCUAAUAUAUUAAAACAGAAGUCACAACUUCACUUCAUGUGUGAUUUUUUGAAAUGGACCAUUCCUAGAAAAUUAUAUUUCAUUUUUAUCUUAAUAACAUUUAUCAAUUAUUAAUGAAUCAAUAAUAUAUCAGUUUUUACCUCAUAACAACUCUAUCCUAUAAACCGGUUCGUUUUGUGUAACAGAUUGACGCCAGUAACAAUCUCCUAAUAUAUACUACAUACAAAUUAAAUGAUACAAGUAUCACAUUAAAGAAAUAAAAAAUCUGUCAUCAUGAGUGAACUCCUAACGGAUACCAAGACUUUGUAACAUAUAUGAAAUUUGUAACAUUGUCGAGCUCUCUAAUGAUCCAUAGUUUAUCAUCUUGAAAAAUUUCUUAUAACAGCAAUAUUGAAUCACCUAAUAAAUACAUUCAAAACUAUUCUUAAUGAAUCACUUUAAAGAUUUUAAAAUCUGCCAUUAUUAAACCCAUAGCUGGAGCAACAUGAUAAAAUCGGUGCUACUGGUAUAUAUAUUGAUUUCUUUUAUUUAAUGGAUUCAAAUUUCAAAAUAUAAUACAUAUGAAAUAAAACUAUUCCAUCCCUACAUACUUGCUAUACUAUAGAUUUUGUAACCGUGGUGAGUAACAAAAGAUCUUUACUUUGAUUUUAUAUUUAUCAUAAUUUAUAUGAAUAACAAUUAGAGAUCAUAAUAAUGAUAUAGCAUCAAAUAUUUGUUAUAAAUAUUGCUAACAUGUUAGAUAAUAUAAUAUGUUAAAAUGUUUUACGAAUACCAGCCCAGUUCACAAAUUUUGUUAUCAAAAAAAUAUGCCACAUUUAUUAAAAAAAAAUAAUUAUACAUAUUCCCUUUUAUUUUUGAAAACUAAAUCUGAUUUUUCUACACUUUUUACCGAUUUUUUCAGUCAAAUAUUUAGCAUACAGGAUUUAUUAACAAUAUAUGAAAAUUAUAUAUUUAAAUAGAAAUAAAAAAAUUAAAAUAUAUUAUUACAAAAAUAGGUUCUACUAAUAUUUUUAAAAAUCAUAUAUAAUAAAAAAAUAUUUCAAUAAAAUUAACAACAUUUUUCAUAUAAAUUUAAACUUUAUAAUAAAACUCGCACGGUCGUGCGGGUCGAAACCUAGUUAUACAUUAAUAAUAUUGAAUAAGAAACAUAACCAAUAACAUUAUAGAUUUACACAAUAUAUAACACUAAAAUGUAAAUUAUAUCUUUGAAAGUUUUGCGAUGGUAUAUGUUAUAUAUUUAUAAAAUAAAAAUUCAUCCAGCACGGAUGUGCGGGUGAAAAAUCUAGUAAUAUUUAUUUUAAUAGUUUGUUGAAUUGAUAAAAUGAAAAUUACAACAUUUCUUUGAUUUUUACUGAGCUAUAAUGAAUUGUCCAGAAAUAAUUGAUUAAAUUCCAGCUACAAUAAAUAUUAAUUAAAGUAAAUUCACCUUUGUAUUCCGAAAAGAAAAAGCUCCAUGAUACGUCCGUCAUAGUUUUAUGGUCGAACUCAAUUGAAGUGGUGAUUACUGAAAAGUAAUUGAUUCAACAAAAGAAACAUUAAUUAAGCAACAAAUAUUAAGGAGUAAAAAAUAGGUAAAACCUUUUCUGUCAUGCCAAAACCUGAUGCUUCCAUUUGUCCCCUUUGACUGACUGAAAAUUCACUGCGUGUGAGUGUAGUCAUGGACUUUCCACGAGAAUUUUUUUGAUUAUGCUCCUUCACAUCUCUCAAAACUAUUGCUUCAAGAGUCUGUAAAUCAUUAGAUUGAGAAAGUUUCUAAGCUAUAUUGUAAUAGUCAAAAAUAGAAUCUCUUCAAAAUAAAUGUACCCGUAUCUUGGCAUAAUUCCACUGUAUCGAUCUAAAAUCUUGUCGAUAAUGGAUUUCUAGAUAUUAAUCCAUGUGAUAAAUAAUAAAAGCUUUGAAUUGCUGCAAAAAAAAUAUCAUGAACCCUAACCGUAGAUAUGAAAAUGGAUAAUGGAGAUGAUAGAAAUAAGGAAAAAGAAAGCACAAAGUAAAUCAUUAGAUCAGAAUUUAUAUAGGAAAAAUAAACAGUUUGAAGUCAUGAUCACUUAACUAUAAACGUGGAUGUGAUAUUUUGAGAAAAAAUAGGAUAAAGUUGCUGAAAAUUAGGGGUUGAUGAGAAAUUUAUUUUAAUCAAUUUUUUUUAAAACAUUUUCCACAUGUCAAAUUCUGAUUUGUUAGGUGACUUGUGAUUUAGUAUAUAAGGGAUAAGAAUAUGUGUAAUAUAGUCUAGUUAUGUAUUUAACUAUAAAAUUUAACUUUAAAAUAUAGAAAAUGUAUAUGCAAUUGAUUGUGUAGCGUUUGAAAAGACUUGGGAAGAUGUUCUUACUGGCUGAAUUUAUUGUUUAUAUGCAAUUGAGUAUGUAGUUGGCAUGUGCCUUGUAUAUGUUGCCAUUCAUAGGAGGUUUGGAAAGGAUUGACGCUGAAGCUGCUAUCUACGCGCUAUACCUACCAGUGGAACCAACUUAUACAACUGCUGGUCGAUCAAAACAGAGACAAAACAGAGUUUUACAUCAUCAGAUAUGUGUUCCAAACAACUAUGUAUGAUAUAUGGAGGGAACACAACCAACAUAAAAAUGGAGAAAGACCAAUGUCACCGAGUCAGCUAAUCCAGAUGGUGGACAAGAUCUCUCUUCCAUCCGUGUCCAGGCGCUCACGGGUGGUUUAGCUUUAUGGUUUACCACGAGAUAGCUUCUUGAAGCUUAUGUCUAAUUUUAUAAAAAAAUAUAUAACACAAAAUGUCAAAACAAUUUUUUUUUGGUUUGGAUUAAUAUAACAUUCUUUCAAAAAAAAAAUCACACAACAACCUGAUUUAUAGACAUUAGUUGAGACAACGGGGUUUUUGAAGUUUGCCACAAUACUACUGCUAUUCAACAUCCUUAUUAUCAGAAAAUUACAAGCAACAAGUUCAUACUACAGAAUGAACCUUAUUAAACAAAAAUUGUAACUAAAGAGAUAAGAUAAACAUAUAUUCCCGACAAAAGAAAACUUAUAUAUUCACUUAAAAUAACUAAUAGGAAAAUAUAAUCAAUUAGUUUCCCUUGAUAAGCAUGCCCUUGGCCUCUUUCAACAAACGUAGCACGUUUCUCAUUUUCAUCCGUUCGCUAGCUGCAUACGCAGUACAAGCCAAGCCAACUUCAAUAGUUUUCUUAAGGCAAUCAAGUUUUGCAUGAAGUUGUGCACCAGAAACAUCGAUGAGUCCCUUAAGUUUAGGAUCAAUCACUUCCAUAAUUGCGUUACUUUGAAACCCAUAACUUAUCCAUGAUAUUAGAUUUUGAUCUCCUUCGAAGCGCUCGUCCAUUGGGCUUUUUCCACUCAAGAGCUCUAACAACAUCACUCCAAAGCUAUAUACAUCUCCUGCUUGUGAUGGCUUUUCUCCAAGCCCAUACUCUGCAUAUAUAACAAUCCCAAAUCAGCGUGAGAAUAUAAAAUAUGUUACCAAGGUAGUAAAAAAACUAUAUUGAAUAGUAAUAACAAGUUUAGCAUAUGUAGACUGUUUAUAAGAUUUAAAGGUGAGCAACUAACCUGGAGGAAUAUAACCAAUGGAGCCUUUCAAGACAUGUGUGGAGCUUAUAGAAGCGUGAUGACAAUCAUCGGAUGCGUCAAACAACACACGAGCCAACCCAAAAUCGCCGACCUUUGUAACCAUGUCUUCGGUUAGAAGAAUAUUGCUAGGUUUUAGAUCACAAUGAACCACAUGAACUUCACAAUCAUUGUGCAAAUAAUCCAAUGCAGAUGCAAUGUCAAUGGCUACAUUCACUCUUUCUUCAAGAUUUAACCCAACACUCCCAUCAGGUUUUCUAUGUUUACCUUUGAUCCAUUCUUCUAAGCUUCCAUUGCUUAAAAAUUCAUACACCAAAGCCAAAAACUCAUUGUUUUUGAAGUCUAUGCUUGAACAAGAAGUUACUAGUUUCACAAGAUUCCUGUGCCUUACAUUCCUUAAAGCCUCACACUCUGCUAUAAAGCCUUUGUAGUAUCCGUUUGCCUUGAGAUCAAUGACUUUCACCGCAACAUCAACCCCUCGUAUCACCCCUUUGAAUACCGAUCCAAAGCUUCCAACACCAAGAAUAUUUCUAGGGUUGAAAUUUUCAGUAGCUCUCCUGAGCUCAUCAUAUGAAACAUUCAUAAAUGGUUCCUUGAGGAGUGAAUUUGAUGAUGAGGUAGAUGUGGUAGACCUCUUUUCCAUUCUUUUCCAAAUCAAGAAACUUAUCACACAUAUUGCAAUCAGACCAACCGCACAUGUAAUAACGCUAACUUUCAAAAGUUUUCUGUGCGUCCGAGUUUUUCGACAAGUGUGAAUGCAGAGCUUUGGAUUCCCCUCCAUAUAAGCUUUAGAAUGAUCUUUGAAAACUCCACGGUUUGGGACCCAUCCUUCAAGAUUGUUGAAUGAAAUAUUCAAGAACUUCAUUGCUUGUAAAUCUUGAAGUCUUGGAGGAAUAACACCGGAAAGCUGGUUUGAAGAGAGAUCAAGAAACUCUAGACCUUUUACUUCUGCUAAUGCAUCCGGGAUUGGUCCGUCUAGAUUAUUGCCCGCCAUGUUUAGCUUCUCCAAGCUUUGACAAUCUUUGAUAGAUGAAGGGAUGUGGCCUGAGAAGUUGUUACUAGAGAGAUCUAGACUCACAAGGCUUUCGAGGCGACUUAUAUCUUGAGGAAUUGGACCAGAAAAUAGGUUGCUAGAUAGAUUCAAGACGGCACUCAAGCUAGGUAGGUUAAGAACUCCAUUUGGUAUGCUUCCAUUUAGCAUAUUGCUGGAUAGAUCCAUGGAUAACAUAUUCUUGAAGUUUUCAAAUG
rnacentral:lncRNA from 1 species